AUUGAACGCCGGCGGCAUGCCUUACACAUGCAAGUCGAACGGCAGCACGGGGCAACCUGGUGGCGAGUGGCGAACGGGUGAGUAAUGUAUCGGAACGUACCUUUCAGUGGGGAAUAACGUAGCGAAAGUUACGCUAAUACCGCAUAUUCUGUGAGCAGGAAAGCAGGGGAUCUUAGGACCUUGCGCUGAUUGAGCGGCCGAUAUCAGAUUAGCUAGUUGGUGAGGUAAAGGCUCACCAAGGCGACGACCUGUAGCGGGUCUGAGAGGAUGAUCCGCCACACUGGAACUGAGACACGGUCCAGACUCCUACGGGAGGCAGCAGUGGGGAAUUUUGGACAAUGGGCGCAAGCCUGAUCCAGCCAUGCCGCGUGAGUGAAGAAGGCCUUCGGGUUGUAAAGCUCUUUCAGCCGGGAAGAAAACGCAUGGGUUAAUACCCUGUGUGGAUGACGGUACCGGAAUAAGAAGCACCGGCUAACUACGUGCCAGCAGCCGCCGUAAGAC
rnacentral:rRNA from 1 species